GAUGAACGCUAGCGGGAGGCUUAACACAUGCAAGUCGAGGGGCAGCACGAGGUAGCAAUACUUUGGUGGCGACCGGCGCACGGGUGAGUAACGCGUAUGCAACCUACCCUGUACAGGGGGAUAGCCCGGAGAAAUUCGGAUUAAUACCCCAUAAUGAUAUUAAGAGGCAUCUCUAUAUAUUUAAAGUUUCGACGGUACGGGAUGGGCAUGCGUGACAUUAGCUAGUUGGUAGGGUAACGGCCUACCAAGGCUGCGAUGUCUAGGGGUCCUGAGAGGGUGAUCCCCCACACUGGUACUGAGACACGGACCAGACUCCUACGGGAGGCAGCAGUGAGGAAUAUUGGUCAAUGGGCGUAAGCCUGAACCAGCCAUCCCGCGUGAAGGAAGACGGCGCUAUGCGUUGUAAACUUCUUUUCCGGAGGAAUAAAAUUUCGUACGAGUACGGGACUGAAGGUACUCCGGGAAUAAGCAUCGGCUAACUCCGUGCCAGCCGCCGCAGUAA
rnacentral:rRNA from 1 species